GACGUAGGGCGCGAGCGUUGUCCGGAUUUAUUGGGCGUAAAGAGCGCGCAGGCGGCUUGGUAAGUCGGAUGUGAAAUCCCGAGGCUCAACCUCGGGUCUGCAUCCGAUACUGCCCGGCUAGAGGUAGGUAGGGGAGAUCGGAAUUCCUGGUGUAGCGGUGAAAUGCGCAGAUAUCAGGAGGAACACCGGUGGCGAAGGCAGGUCACUGGGCCGCAACUGACGCUGAGGAGCGAAAGCAUGGGGAGCGAACAGG
rnacentral:rRNA from 1 species